rnacentral:SRP_RNA from 1 species
CGACAGAUCCCAGGCAAUAUGCCCUAGCGAACCUGGUCAGGAGGGGAACCUAGCAGCCAUAGUUAGUAAGCAUAUGUGACCUGGUGUAUUUGUCGCCU